UAACACUUUUUGACCGCAUGGUCGAGAAGUCAAAUUGAUUAAGAGGUAUGGGAUGAGUUCGCGUCUGAUUAACUAGUUGGUAAGGUAAAGGCUUACCAAGGCGACGAUCAGUAGCCGGCCUGAGAGGGUGAUCGGCCACACUGGAACUGAGACACGGUCCAGACUCCUACGGGAGGCAGCAGUGGGGAAUAUUGCACAAUGGAGGAAACUCUGAUGCAGCGACGCCGCGUGAGUGAAGAAGGUCUUCGGAUCGUAAAACUCUGUCCUUGGUGAAGAAAGAAAUGACGGUAGCCAAGGAGGAAGCCCCGGCUAACUACGUGCCAGCAGCCGCGGUAAUACGUAGGGGGCGAGCGUUGUCCGGAUUUACUGGGCGUAAAGGGUGAGUAGGCGGUAAUAUGUGUCAGGUGUAAAAGGCUAUGGCUUAACCAUAGUUAGCAUUUGAAACUGUAUUACUUGAGUGCAGGAGAGGUAAGUGGAAUUCCUAGUGUAGCGGUGAAAUGCGUAGAUAUUAGGGGGAACACCAGUGGCGAAGGCGACUUACUGGACUGUAACUGACGCUGAGUCACGAAAGCGUGGGUAGCAAACAGGAUUGGAUACCCUGGUAGUCCACGCUGUAAACGAUGAGUGCUAGGUGUUGGGUAGCGAUAUUCAGUGCCGAAGUUAACACAAUAAGCACUCCGCCUGGGGAGUACGGUCGCAAGACUGAAACUCAAAUGAAUUGACGG
rnacentral:rRNA from 1 species